AUACUUAACUGACAAGGAAGAUACAAUAAUUGAGAAGGUGGUCUUCCCAGGGCUAGACUCACCCACCCAUUGCCCUCCAGAUGUGCUGACUUCUGUGAUUUCUCCAUGUGGGAAACUUGACUGCAUAAUUUGUGGUAGUGGGGGGACUGGGUUGGCACUACUCCCAG